rnacentral:tRNA from 1 species
GCCUGGGUGACUCAGCGGUUGAAUGUCUGCCUUUGGCUCAGGGCGUCUGGGGAUCAAAUCCCUCCUCGGGCU